UACGGAGGGUGCAAGCGUUGUUCGGAAUUAUUGGGCGUAAAGGGCAGGUAGGUGGUCUUAAAAGUCUACUGUGAAAUCCCCGAGCUUAACUUGGGAAGUGCGGUAGAUACUCUAAGACUAGAGUGCUGGAGGGGUUCGUGGAAUUCCCGGUGUAGCGGUGAAAUGCGCAGAUAUCAGGAGGAACACCGAUGGCGAAGGCAGUGGGCUGGGCCGGCACUGACGCUGAGGAGCGAAAGCGUGGGGAGCGAACAGG
rnacentral:rRNA from 1 species